rnacentral:rRNA from 1 species
UACGGAGGAUCCGAGCGUUAUCCGGAUUUAUUGGGUUUAAAGGGUGCGCAGGCGGGAGAUUAAGUCGGCGGUGAAAUUUUGCAGCUCAACUGUAAAAGUGCCUUCGAAACUGGUUUCCUUGAGUGUGGAUGAAGUAGGCGGAAUUUGUGGUGUAGCGGUGAAAUGCAUAGAUAUCACGAGGAACUCCGAUUGCGCAGGCAGCUUACUAAACCAUAACUGACGCUCAGGCACGAAGGCGUGGGGAUCAAACAGGAUUAGAUACCUCGGUAGU